rnacentral:tRNA from 1 species
GGGGAUUUAGCUCAGUGGUAGAGCGCUUGUCUAGCAAGCACAAGGCCCUGAGUUCAGUCCCCA